UUAAUUUGAGAGUUUGAUCCUGGCUCAGGACGAACGCUGGCGGCGUGCCUAAUACAUGCAAGUCGAACGAACUCUGGUAUUGAUUGGUGCUUGCAUCAUGAUUUACAUUUGAGUGAGUGGCGAACUGGUGAGUAACACGUGGGAAACCUGCCCAGAAGCGGGGGAUAACACCUGGAAACAGAUGCUAAUACCGCAUAACAACUUGGACCGCAUGGUCCGAGCUUGAAAGAUGGCUUCAGCUAUCACUUUUGGAUGGUCCCGCGGCGUAUUAGCUAGAUGGUGGGGUAACGGCUCACCAUGGCAAUGAUACGUAGCCGACCUGAGAGGGUAAUCGGCCACAUUGGGACUGAGACACGGCCCAAACUCCUACGGGAGGCAGCAGUAGGGAAUCUUCCACAAUGGACGAAAGUCUGAUGGAGCAACGCCGCGUGAGUGAAGAAGGGUUUCGGCUCGUAAAACUCUGUUGUUAAAGAAGAACAUAUCUGAGAGUAACUGUUCAGGUAUUGACGGUAUUUAACCAGAAAGCCACGGCUAACUACGUGCCAGCAGCCGCGGUAAUACGUAGGUGGCAAGCGUUGUCCGGAUUUAUUGGGCGUAAAGCGAGCGCAGGCGGUUUUUUAAGUCUGAUGUGAAAGCCUUCGGCUCAACCGAAGAAGUGCAUCGGAAACUGGGAAACUUGAGUGCAGAAGAGGACAGUGGAACUCCAUGUGUAGCGGUGAAAUGCGUAGAUAUAUGGAAGAACACCAGUGGCGAAGGCGGCUGUCUGGUCUGUAACUGACGCUGAGGCUCGAAAGUAUGGGUAGCAAACAGGAUUAGAUACCCUGGUAGUCCAUACCGUAAACGAUGAAUGCUAAGUGUUGGAGGGUUUCCGCCCUUCAGUGCUGCAGCUAACGCAUUAAGCAUUCCGCCUGGGGAGUACGGCCGCAAGGCUGAAACUCAAAGGAAUUGACGGGGGCCCGCACAAGCGGUGGAGCAUGUGGUUUAAUUCGAAGCUACGCGAAGAACCUUACCAGGUCUUGACAUACUAUGCAAAUCUAAGAGAUUAGACGUUCCCUUCGGGGACAUGGAUACAGGUGGUGCAUGGUUGUCGUCAGCUCGUGUCGUGAGAUGUUGGGUUAAGUCCCGCAACGAGCGCAACCCUUAUUAUCAGUUGCCAGCAUUAAGUUGGGCACUCUGGUGAGACUGCCGGUGACAAACCGGAGGAAGGUGGGGAUGACGUCAAAUCAUCAUGCCCCUUAUGACCUGGGCUACACACGUGCUACAAUGGAUGGUACAACGAGUUGCGAACUCGCGAGAGUAAGCUAAUCUCUUAAAGCCAUUCUCAGUUCGGAUUGUAGGCUGCAACUCGCCUACAUGAAGUCGGAAUCGCUAGUAAUCGCGGAUCAGCAUGCCGCGGUGAAUACGUUCCCGGGCCUUGUACACACCGCCCGUCACACCAUGAGAGUUUGUAACACCCAAAGUCGGUGGGGUAACCUUUUAGGAACCAGCCGCCUAAGGUGGGACAGAUGAUUAGGGUGAAGUCGUAACAAGGUAGCCGUAGGAGAACCUGCGGCUGGAUCACCUCCUUUCUAAGGAA
rnacentral:rRNA from 2 species